rnacentral:rRNA from 1 species
CAGUCGCCGCGGGAAUACAGAGGAUGCAAGCGUUAUCCGGAAUGAUUGGGCGUAAAGCGUCUGUAGGUGGCUUUUCAAGUCCGCCGUCAAAUCCCAGGGCUCAACCCUGGACAGGCGGUGGAAACUACCAAGCUGGAGUACGGUAGGGGCAGAGGGAAUUUCCAGUGGAGCGGUGAAAUGCGUUGAGAUCGAAAAGAACACCAACAGCGAAAGCACUCUGCUGGGACGACACUGACACUAAGAGACGAAAGCUAGGGGAGCAAAUGGGAUUAGAUACCCCAGUAGUCCCUGUCUCUUAUAC